GCUUGUGGCCAUAUGGCACCAAACAGACCUGAUUACCUGUGCUCUUGGAAGCUAAGCAGGUUCAGGCUGAUGUAGUGCUGGGCUGGGAAACCAUCUUAGAAUAGCAGGUGCGCUAGGCU
rnacentral:rRNA from 1 species